rnacentral:rRNA from 1 species
CCUACGGGUGGCAGCAGUAAGGAAUAUUGGUCAAUGGACGAGAGUCUGAACCAGCCAAGUAGCGUGAAGGAUGACUGCCCUAUGGGUUGUAAACUUCUUUUAUAUGGGAAUAAAAUGUUCCACGUGUGGGAUUUUGUAUGUACCAUAUGAAUAAGGAUCGGCUAACUCCGUGCCAGCAGCCGCGGUAAUACGGAGGAUCCGAGCGUUAUCCGGAUUUAUUGGGUUUAAGGGGAGCGUAGGUGGAUUCUUAAGUCAGUUGUGAAAGUUUGCGGCUCAACCGUAAAAUUGCAGUUGAAACUGGCAGUCUUGAGUACAGUAGAGGUGGGCGGAAUUCGUGGUGUAGCGGUGAAAUGCUUAGAUAUCACGAAGAACUCCGAUUGCGAAGGCAGUUCACUGGACUGCAACUGACACUGAGGCUCGAAAGUGUGGGUAUCAAACAGGAUUAGAUACCCUAGUAGUC